CAUGCGUUAUAUAUGCAUUGCAUCAACCUGGCAUCAGCUAAGAUGAUACAUUAAAUUAUCGGCCUAAAUGAUGUGAUCAUAAUCUAAAUACAAGUUAAUAAAAGGACAAAUGAGUGACCAUUAUAUACCAAUGACCUUCUACUUCAUUUCAUAAUUAGGAGGUCAUGGAACAUACUCUUUUUUCUUUCAUCUACUUCACGAUGUUGAUUGAUGAAUUCACUGGUACAUCGUGCUACUUGACCAUUUUUAUUUUUCACGAUAUGUAAUGUAUUCUCGGUCUAUUCUGUACAGAUCUGGUACAGCCUUUAUAAUCUAUAUGAGCCAAUAUAACUAUAUGAGCAUUAAUUAAGCCUCAGAUAUACUAUCGAAAAAGACCCUAAAACAAGUAUAUUUCUUGUGUCGACAUCUUCCUAUCUUUUUUUUUUUUUCCAACCAAAAUUUUGAAGUGUAUUACCCAAAAAACAAAGAUAGAUGCAGUUGCCAGUUGAUAAAGUCUAAAGGCGCAUUUGGUGAUCCAAUUUGGAUCACCAUGAUGAUCUAAGAUCACUGAUUAUCCAAAUCCUAGGAUAAUCUAAUUUUUAGUGAUCUCAUAUCAUGAUGUUUGAUUUGCCAUAGUAUAGUGAUUAAAGAUUUCCAGAUAUGUACAAGUUAUUUGUUUGGUAUACUACGGAAAUUCAAAAUUACUGACCAUAUAAUAUCAAAAAUAUUCUUGACAACUUAUUUAGGAGUUGGGAUUGAGGAUUGGGAUAGAGAAAAUUUUAGAACAAAAUCAAAUAGAUAUAUUUUUUUUUCUAAUUAGUACGAUGAAAGAAGGAAGAGAAAGAAGAAUUUUCUUCUCUUCCAUGAAAAUGACGCCCCAAGUACCUGCAUGCAUUCCUUCUCUUUUGUAGACAAGACGACACCUCAACUAUCCACUCCACGUGUGCAAAAAAAAAUAUCACAGUAAACAAAAUAAUUUUCUUUGAAAGUUUUUUAAUCUUGAGGAUAUUUUGGUUAAUAUAUUUUAAUAUAAGAUCAUCGUAAUGGAGUGAUGUUGGAUAUCCAUCCUCAAGAAUGGAUUUUCUAUUAUCGCACUGGACAGUGAUUUGAGAAGCAGGGAUGAUUUGAAAUCACCGUCACGUAGAAUCAUUAUAGUGUAACCAAACAUGAUGACCUCAUCAUCUCCACCUACAUCACUCCUGAUCCUGGAUGAAUCAUCCCAUACCAAACACCUCCUGAUAAAGAAGAAGUAUACUCAUAUGACUGAUAUGCAAAAAAUCUAUCAGUAAUGCUAUGUUAUCUCACCUAGAGCCACUUUCUCUAAAAAACCAAAAGCCAAUGUCCAAUUUCAAAUUUCAAAUAAAAAAAUAAUAGCACAAUUUACUAUAAACACUCCACUCCACCUGAAAAUGUGAUUAUUAUGUAUAUUGCUCUCAUGUAUUCACAUUUAAAAAGGUCAUCAGUGGCGUGUAUACUUAGGGCCCACUCUUUAGAGGAUAAAUAACUUAUCUAAGAAUCUCUAUUUUCUUUGAUAAAUAUUUUUUAGAUAAUAUUUAAAUAAAAAAAUUAUUUAUUCAUAUCCUUUUAUGGAUUGGUAAAUAAUUUUGGUAUCUAUUAUUUAUGUUCUUUUGCAUUACUAUUUUUUUAAAUAAAUUACUCAGAUCUAUUCAUAUUUCACAAAAUAUUUUUUAUUAUAUAAAUAUAUAUAUUAUAUAUUAUAAUUUAUAUUAUAUUAUAUAUCAUAUAGGAACGGAUCCUUAAGAAAUUCUAGCAUGUUUGUAAUAAUCAAUGUUCUUCAUAAAUUCCAAGAUAGUUUCAUAAAUCAUAAUGGGAUUGAGUAACAUUUCAAGAUAGAAUGAGUUUUCACUUUGACGUGAUAUUAAGUACAUAUUCCUCUUCCUGUGUUGUAUACGCAUUGCAUCAACCUGGCAUCAGCUAAGAUGAUACAUUAAAUUAUCAUCCUAAAUGAUGUGAUCAUAAUCUAAAUACAAGUUAAUAAAAGGACAAAAGAGUGAUCAUUAUACCAAUGACCUUCUACUUCAUUUCAUAAUUAGGAGGUCUCGGAACAUAUUCUUUUAUCUUUCCUCUACUUCACGUUGUUGAUUGAUGA
rnacentral:lncRNA from 1 species